AACAAAAAACAAACAAAAAAAAAGGACGAAAGAAAAAGAAGAAGAAGAAGGAAAA
rnacentral:sRNA from 1 species